rnacentral:misc_RNA from 1 species
UCAGACUCAGAUUCCUUUCUGAUCAAAUUAUUAUCAAGUUAUCAUAUAAGUUAUAAUAUAUAUCAAGUUAUUAUACAUAUAUAUAAUUUUAUUUUACAUAUAUAUACAUAUAUAAUUUUUUUAUUCAAUUCAUGCCUAUUUUCUCAAAUGCACAUUGCCACGUUAUGUCACUGGAAACCACUAGAAACUGAUUACGUUUUUGGCAACGUGAUCGACAGGGCAGACGCCGCCGUGAUUUAUGCCGAAUUGUAUAAAAUUGAAUUAAACAUCAUAAAUAUUUGAAAAAAAAGUUAAUAAUUAUGACUAUCGUAGCUCAUUUAAGUCGCAACGUCAAUUUAAGUCGACUGUCGAAAAUACGGCCAUAUAUUUACAAACAAAAUGUACGAUUAUUGGCGUCGUACGCCAAAUUUGCUGAGCACAAACCAUUGGAGAAGAUCAGAAACAUCGGUAUAUCGGCUCACAUUGAUUCUGGAAAAACGACUUUAACUGAACGUAUCCUGUAUUACACCGGCAGAAUAUCCGAGAUGCACGAGGUAAAGGGAAAAGAUAACGUGGGUGCAACUAUGGACAGUAUGGAAUUGGAAAGGCAAAGAGGCAUUACUAUUCAAUCUGCUGCCACAUAUACAUUAUGGAAAGAUCAUAACAUCAACAUCAUUGAUACGCCUGGUCACGUGGAUUUUACAGUGGAAGUUGAAAGAGCUUUGCGCGUUUUGGAUGGUGCUAUUCUUGUCCUCUGCGCCGUGGGUGGCGUUCAGUCGCAGACUCUGACUGUGAAUCGACAGAUGAAGAGAUACAGCGUUCCCUGCUUGGCAUUCAUUAAUAAGCUGGAUAGAAUGGGUGCAAAUCCAAAGAGAGUUCUACAACAGAUGAGGAGCAAGCUGCAUCAUAACGCUGCAUUCAUACAGUUACCAAUCGGUCUCGAGAGUAAUACAAAGGGCAUAGUAGAUUUAGUUACUCAAAAAGCAAUUUAUUUUGAAGGGAAUUUUGGGGAAGUUGUUAGGGAGGAUGAAAUCCCAAAGGAUAUGAAUGCAGAGGUAAAUGAAAGAAGGCAAGAAUUAAUCGAGCACUUGAGCAAUGCAGACGAUACGUUUGGUGAUUUGUAUUUAAAUGAAACAAAAAUAACUGAGAAAGAUAUUAUGGACGCCAUACGCAGGAGUUGCUUAAAAAGAAAGUUUACACCUGUGCUAGUUGGCACUGCAUUGAAAAAUAAGGGAGUUCAGCCAUUAUUAGAUGCAGUAAUAAGUUAUUUACCGAAUCCGGGAGAAGUAGAGAAUUAUGCUCUUCAACCAAAAUCCGAGGGUGAAUAUGAUAAAAUUUUAUUAGAUUCUAAUCGAGAUGACAAUAAACCUUUUGUUGGAUUGGCAUUCAAGUUGGAGGCUGGUAAAUUUGGUCAAUUAACAUAUUUUCGUUGUUACCAGGGAAUGUUAAGAAAAUCGGAAACCAUAUAUAACACAAGAACACGAAAAAAGGUACGGAUACAAAAAUUAGUUCGACUUCAUGCAAAUCAAAUGGAAGAUGUUACAGAAGUUUAUGCGGGAGAUAUUUUUGCUUUAUUUGGUGUAGACUGUGCAUCUGGUGAUACUUUUGUUAACGAAUCCAAACUAGAUCUGGCGAUGGAAUCUAUUUACGUUCCCGAUUCUGUGGUAUCUAUGUCUAUACAACCAAAAAAUACAAAAGAUCGAGAUAAUUUUGCUAAAGGUAUUGGCCGAUUUACAAAGGAAGAUCCAACUUUGCGUUUUCACUACGAUGUCGAUAACAAGGAAAGCAUAAUUUCUGGUAUGGGCGAAUUGCAUUUGGAAAUUUAUGCGCAAAGAUUAGAACGUGAAUAUAAUUGCCCAGUUAUUCUUGGAAAACCAAAAGUUUCUUUCCGUGAGACUUUAUGUAGACCUUGUGAAUUUGAUUAUCUUCAUAAGAAACAGUCUGGCGGUGCUGGCCAAUAUGCGCGCGUGAUUGGAUUUAUGGAGCCUUUGCCACCCGAGAGAAAUACAACUAUCGAAUUUUCGGAUGAAACUAUAGGAACCAAUGUACCAAAACAAUUUAUUCCGGGCGUAGAGAGAGGUUUCAAGGAAAUCUGCACAAGGAGCUGUGAAGGAUGUUUUUGAAUAUGGUAGCUGGCAAAUUUUAGAACCAAUUAUGUUGGUCGAAGUAGUGGGCCCACAGGAAUAUCAGGGUUUGGUAUUGGGACAAAUUAACAAGA